rnacentral:rRNA from 1 species
AGAGUUUGAUCCAGGCUCAGAUUGAACGCUGGCGGCAUGCCUUACACAUGCAAGUCGAACGGCAGCACGGGAGCAAUCCUGGUGGCGAGUGGCGAACGGGUGAGUAAUAUAUCGGAACGUGCCCAGUCGUGGGGGAUAACGCAGCGAAAGCUGUGCUAAUACCGCAUACGAUCUCUGGAUGAAAGCGGGGGACUCGCAAGAGCCUCGCGCGAUUGGAGCGGCCGAUAUCAGAUUAGCUAGUUGGUGGGGUAAAGGCCCACCAAGGCGACGAUCUGUAGCUGGUCUGAGAGGACGACCAGCCACACUGGAACUGAGACACGGUCCAGACUCCUAGCAGCAGUGGGGAAUUUUGGACAAUGGGCGCAAGCCUGAUCCAGCAAUGCCGCGUGCAGGAUGAAGGCCUUCGGGUUGUAAACUGCUUUUGUACGGAACGAAACGGUCUGCCCUAAUACGGUGGGCUAAUGACGGUACCGUAAGAAUAAGCACCGGCUAACUACGUGCCAGCAGCCGCGGUAAUACGUAGGGUGCGAGCGUUAAUCGGAAUUACUGGGCGUAAAGCGUGCGCAGGCGGUUAUGUAAGACAGAUGUGAAAUCCCCGGGCUCAACCUGGGACCUGCAUUUGUGACUGCAUAGCUAGAGUACGGUAGAGGGGGAUGGAAUUCCGCGUGUAGCAGUGAAAUGCGUAGAUAUCGUAAGGAAGACCAGUGGCGAAGGCGGGUCUCUGGACAGUUCCUGACACUGAGGCACGAAGGCCAGGGGAGCAAACGGGAUUAGAUACCCCGGUAGUCCUG